rnacentral:rRNA from 1 species
UACAGAGGAGCCAAGCGUUGUCCGGAUUGACUGGGCGUAAAGCGCACGCAGGCGGUUCGUCGCGUCGGCUGUGAAAACCCGGAGCUCAACUCCGGGCCUGCAGUCGAUACGGGCGGACUUGAGUGUUGCAGGGGAGACUGGAAUUCCUGGUGUAGCGGUGAAAUGCGCAGAUAUCAGGAGGAACACCGGUGGCGAAGGCGGGUCUCUGGGCAACUACUGACGCUGAGGAGCGAAAGCGUGGGGAGCGAACAGG